GACGAACGCUGGCGGCGUGCUUAACACAUGCAAGUCGAACGCUGAAGCUCAGCUUUUGUUGGGUGGAUGAGUGGCGAACGGGUGAGUAACACGUGAGUAACCUGCCCACUUCUUUGGGAUAACGCCCGGAAACGGGUGCUAAUACUGGAUAUUCACUGGUCUUCGCAUGGGGGUUGGUGGAAAGGGUUUUUCUGGUGGGGGAUGGGCUCGCGGCCUAUCAGCUUGUUGGUGGGGUGAUGGCCUACCAAGGCUUUGACGGGUAGCCGGCCUGAGAGGGUGACCGGUCACAUUGGGACUGGGAUACGGCCCAGAGUGCUACGGGAGGCAGCAGUGGGGAAGAUUGCACAAUGGGCGCAAGCCUGAUGCAGCGACGCCUCGUGAGGGAUGGAGGCCUGCGGGUUGUGAACCUCUUUCGCGCAUGGUCAAUCCGCAACAAUGGUUGUGGUGAGGGUAGUGGGUAAAGAAGCGCCGGCUAACUACGUG
rnacentral:rRNA from 1 species